GGCCACUGGCAGGUUAUGACAAAAAAUUGGAAGCAGAAUAAGAGAAAGGUGGAACAUGCAUCUUAAAAACAAAUGGGACAUGUGCCAUUUGAACAGCUGAACGGACAGACUCAUCCCAGCUGUAUGGUGCCCAGCAGAUAUUUGUCUAUGAAGAUUAAAGCAGCCCUUGUUAGCCCCCUGUGGGUCCAUAUGGAGCUCUGUGUGAAUGAAGGAGUAGAAACAGUGUGCACUAACACAGCUAAAAGGAGGACCUUACAAAUGUGACUUGUUUAUUGUUAAUGGUGCAAACACACUCAUUCAGGAUGUGCUAUUAUUUUUUCUACAAAUUUGCAAAUGGGUUCAAACUAUAGAGUCUUUAGUCAAGAUUCCAUUUUUUUCCUUUUUUGUAACAGCUACUAAAUUCUAUUUGUCCUUAUAGAGUCCCUGUGUCAGGAUUUGGAUCUUUACUUAUGUGGGAUGUCUGUUUCUUUGCUCUGCGUCUUGGAUUUGGUUUUCUUUCCCCCGUGCUCUCAUGCAACCGCUGGGUGUGGCUACCAGACACUGGGCUUGCACUCACCUGACUUCCAUCUCCCCCUGAUUGCGCCAUAUAUAGGCUCUGGUCUUCCCUCCACUUACUGCCAGAUUGUUACCAUACCUCAACUGUGCCUCCCUCCACUGAGCCUCAGUGCCUCACCACCUUCAUACCCAGCCUCAGCAAUCUCCUAUGCCUCGCAUCUGCCUCAAACAGCUUCAUCCAAUAAAAUCCUUUCUUUAACUCA